rnacentral:rRNA from 1 species
GAUGGACCCGCGGCGCAUUAGCUAGUUGGUGAGGUAACGGCUCACCAAGGCGACGAUGCGUAGCCGACCUGAGAGGGUGAUCGGCCACACUGGGACUGAGACACGGCCCAGACUCCUACGGGAGGCAGCAGUAGGGAAUCUUCCGCAAUGGACGAAAGUCUGACGGAGCAACGCCGCGUGAGUGAUGAAGGUUUUCGGAUCGUAAAGCUCUGUUGUUAGGGAAGAACAAGUGCAAGAGUAACUGCUUGCACCUUGACGGUACCUAACCAGAAAGCCACGGCUAACUACGUGCCAGCAGCCGCGGUAAUACGUAGGUGGCAAGCGUUGUCCGGAAUUAUUGGGCGUAAAGGGCUCGCAGGCGGUUUCUUAAGUCUGAUGUGAAAGCCCCCGGCUCAACCGGGGAGGGUCAUUGGAAACUGGGAAACUUGAGUGCAGAAGAGGAGAGUGGAAUUCCACGUGUAGCGGUGAAAUGCGUAGAGAUGUGGAGGAACACCAGUGGCGAAGGCGACUCUCUGGUCUGUAACUGACGCUGAGGAGCGAAAGCGUGGGG